AGGAAGACCUGGCAGGAAGUCUGAAGACCCCUGUGGUCCCUCCCUUCCGGAUUUGCUCCACAGGGCUCUGAAAGUCAGUGCUGGGAACAGCUGCCACCUUCCCAGGUUGUGGACCGGGCCCAGAUGGCUCAGUGAACGAGCACUCAAGCUGCUACCUCACAGGUCGGCAGUUCGAACCUUCCAACCGCUCCUGGGUGACAGGCCUGGCCGUCUGAUUUCAUCAGCCGACAGCCCUGGAGACUCUGUGGAGCAGCUGUCCUCUGUGCUGCAGGGUCUGGAACGAGCACCCCACCCUCCGCCAGAGCACGCCCGCCCAGUCCCUCUCAUCAGCACCUGUGUGCUGCACAACCUUGGGCCAGGUGCUUCACCUUGAAGACCCUCCAUUUGUAAGUGGGGGUCAGGCUCUUUGUAACCCACUCGAGGAUCCGCAGAGGAGCCACGGUGGUGCAGUGGUGGCACCGUGGAUU